rnacentral:rRNA from 1 species
AUACGGAGGGUGCAAGCGUUAAUCGGAAUUACUGGGCGUAAAGCGUACGUAGGCGGUCCGUUAAGUUAGAUGUGAAAGCCCCGGGCUUAACCUGGGAACUGCAUUUAAAACUGGCGGACUAGAGUUGAGUAGAGGGGAGUGGAAUUUCAGGUGUAGCGGUGAAAUGCGUAGAGAUCUGAAGGAACACCAGUGGCGAAGGCGACUCCCUGGACUCGAACUGACGCUGAGGUACGAAAGCGUGGGGAGCAAACAGGAUUAGAAACCCGAGUAGUCC